rnacentral:lncRNA from 7 species
CCUCUGCAGUCUCACUGUCCCAAGCUGCUCCUGCCUCAUGGCACCAAUGGGGUGCCUCAUUCUCGUGCCCCCCAAAAAGCCUGAGGCCAUGGAGUCCAGGUGCCUUCCAGUGACAGCGAGGGUCUGACCUACUUGGAGCUGCAAGCUGUGACCCCCAGCACACAGCCCCCAGCCCCCCCCGCCCCACAGCCCUCUGUUAUCUACACCGAGGUGGCCGUUGGGGGCGCCACUGAUGCCUCCAUACGUGUGCACAAACACGUGUGUGUUGUAUGCACACAUGUGCUUCCAGCAUGCACAGUGCAGUUGUGUUGUGUGUGCUCACCAUCACGUGUGCACUGCAUACAGGUACCACUGCAUGUGUUCAUAUGUUACCUGCGUGUGCACCAUCACAUGUGCACAACAGUUGUACACAGAUGUGCACUCCGUGAUUAACUCCGUUCCUUUGUGUCUGUGCGAUGCCACGUGUGUACACCAGCAUAUGUGCACAGUAGUGCGUGUGUGUCCUUAGCAUGCUUUCUGAGACUGGUAAGGAACGCAUGAGGUGACCAGCAACACUUUGUGGACAGCUCUUCGUUCCAAAGCAUUGCUUUGGAGCCGUUUGAUUUCAAAGAGAAGCUCUCCAUAAAUGGAUGUGUAUUCCUGCUC